rnacentral:rRNA from 1 species
UACUGCAGUCGAAGAGAAAGUCACUUCGGUGGCGAGUACAGUGGCGCACGGGUGAGUACGCGUAGAUGAUCUACCCUUCAGUCUGGGACAACUCUUGGAAACGGGAGCUAAUACCGGAUAAAACCUUCGGGUUGAAAGAUUUAUCGCUGGGGGAUGAGUCUGCGUACCAUUGGCUUGUUGGUGGGGUAACGGCCUACCAAGGCGACGAUGGUUAGCGGGUCUGAGAGGACGAUCCGCCACACUGGAACUGAGACACGGUCCAGACUCCUACGGGAGGCAGCAGUAGGGAAUAUUGCGCAAUGGGGGCAACCCUGACGCAGCAAUGCCGCGUGAGUGAAGAAGGCCUUCAGGUCGUAAAGCUCUUUUAUGGGGGAAGAUGAUGACGGUACCCCAUGAAUAAGCACCGGCUAACUACGUGCCAGCAGCCGCGGUAAUACGUAGGGUGCGAGCGUUGUUCGGAAUUACUGGGCGUACAGGGCGUGCAGGCGGAUUGGCAAGCCGGAGGUGAAAGCCCGGGGCUCAACCCGGAGGGUCUCUCGGAACUGCCAGUCUUGAGAGGGUCAGGUGCCAGCGGAAUUCCUGGUGUAGAGGUGAAAUUCGUAGAGAUCAGGAGGAACACCGGCGGCGAAAGCGGCUGGCUGGGGCCACUCUGACCUGAUGCGCGAAAACGUGUGGAGCCACACGGAUUAGAAUACCUGGUUAGUCCAGCCGCAAACGAUGGCACUAAGCGUCCGAGGGUC